rnacentral:rRNA from 1 species
AUUGAACGCUGGCGGCAUGCUUUACACAUGCAAGUCGAACGGUAACAGGCCUUCGGGUGCUGACGAGUGGCGAACAGGUGAGUAAUGCAUCGGAACGUGCCCAGAGGUGGGGGAUAACGCAGCGAAAGCUGUGCUAAUACCGCAUGUGAUCUGAGGAUGAAAGCGGGGGACCAGGCAGCAAUGUUUGGCCUCGCGCCUUUGGAGCGGCCGAUGUCAGAUUAGGUAGUUGGUGGGGUAAAGGCCUACCAAGCCGACGAUCUGUAGCUGGUCUGAGAGGACGACCAGCCACACUGGGACUGAGACACGGCCCAGACGCCUACGGGAGGGAGCAGUGGGGAAUUUUGGACAAUGGGCGCAAGCCUGAUCCAGCAAUGCCGCGUGCGGGAAGAAGGCCUUCGGGUUGUAAACCGCUUUUGUACGGAACGAAAAGGCUCUGGCUAAUACCUGGGGCUGAUGACGGUACCGUAAGAAUAAGCACCGGCUAACUACGUG